AUAUUACCUGGCAGGGAGAUACCAUGUCAUGGAAGUGGUUUUCCCAGGACAAGGCAUUUCUAUAGCACUUCGGAUGUGCUGACCCCUGCGAUUUCCCAAAAUACAUGAAACUCAACUGCAUAAUUUGUGGUAGUGGGGGAACUGCGUUCACGCUCUCUCCUG